GACGAACGCUGGCGGCGUGCCUAAUACAUGCAAGUAGAACGCUGAAGGAGGAGCUUGCCUCUCCGGAUGAGUUGCGAACGGGUGAGUAACGCGUAGGUAACCUGCCUGGUAGCGGGGGAUAACUAUUGGAAACGAUAGCUAAUACCGCAUAACAGUAGAUGUUGCAUGACAUUUGCUUAAAAGGUGCAAUUGCAUCACUACCAGAUGGACCUGCGUUGUAUUAGCUAGUUGGUGAGGUAACGGCUCACCAAGGCGACGAUACAUAGCCGACCUGAGAGGGUGAUCGGCCACACUGGGACUGAGACACGGCCCAGACUCCUACGGGAGGCAGCAGUAGGGAAUCUUCGGCAAUGGACGGAAGUCUGACCGAGCAACGCCGCGUGAGUGAAGAAGGGUUUCGGAUCGUAAAGCUCUGUUGUAAGAGAAGAACGAGUGUGAGAGUGGAAAGUUCACACUGUGACGGUAGCUUACCAGAAAGGGACGGCUAACUACGUG
rnacentral:rRNA from 1 species